rnacentral:rRNA from 1 species
UACGAAGGGGGCAAGCGUUGUUCGGAAUUACUGGGCGUAAAGGGCGCGUAGGCGGAUGUAUUAGUCAGGUGUGAAAGCCCUGGGCUUAACCUAGGAAUAGCACUUGAUACUGUACGUCUAGAGUAUGAGAGAGGAUAGUGGAAUUACGAGUGUAGAGGUGAAAUUCGUAGAUAUUCGUAAGAACACCGGUGGCGAAGGCGGCUAUCUGGCUCAUAACUGACGCUGAGGCGCGAAAGCGUGGGGAGCAAACAGG